rnacentral:rRNA from 1 species
AUUGAACGCUGGCGGCGUGCCUAACACAUGCAAGUCGAGCGGUAACAGGUGUAGCAAUACAUGCUGACGAGCGGCGAACGGGUGAGUAAUGCUUCGGAAUCUACCCAAUGGUGGGGAAUAACCAGCCGAAAGGUUGGCUAAUACCGCAUACGUCCCACGGGAGAAAGCAGGGGAUCGCAAGACCUUGCGCCAAUGGAUGAGCCGAAGUCGGAUUAGCUAGUUGGAGGGUAACGGCCUACCAAGGCGACGAUCCGUAGCUGGUCUGAGAGGACGACCAGCCACACUGGGACUGAGACACGGCCCAGACUCCUACGGGAGCAGCAGUGGGGAAUAUUGGACAAUGGGGAAACCCUGAUCCAGCGACGCCGCGUGUGUGAAGAAGGCCUGCGGGUUGUAAAGCAC